rnacentral:rRNA from 1 species
UACGGAGGGUGCAAGCGUUAUCCGGAUUCACUGGGUUUAAAGGGUGCGUAGGUGGGCAGGUAAGUCAGUGGUGAAAUCUCCGGGCUUAACCCGGAAACUGCCGUUGAUACUAUUUGUCUUGAAUGUCGUGGAGGUGAGCGGAAUAUGUCAUGUAGCGGUGAAAUGCUUAGAGAUGACAUAGAGCACCGAUUGCGAAGGCAGCUCAUUACGCGAAUAUUGACACUGAGGCACGAAAGCGUGGGGAGCAAACAGG